GGUAGCCGGCCUGAGAGGGUGUCCGGCCACACUGGGACUGAGAUACGGCCCAGACUCCUACGGGAGGCAGCAGUGGGGAAUAUUGCACAAUGGGCGCAAGCCUGAUGCAGCGACGCCGCGUGGGGGAUGACGGCCUUCGGGUUGUAAACCUCUUUCAAUAGGGACGAAGCGCAAGUGACGGUACCUNUAGAAGAAGCACCGGCCAACUACGUGCCAGCAGCCGCGGUAAUACGUAGGGUGCGAGCGUUGUCCGGAAUUACUGGGCGUAAAGAGCUCGUAGGUGGUUUGUCGCGUUGUCCGUGAAAUUUCACAACUCAAUUGUGAGCGUGCGGGCGAUACGGGCAGACUGGAGUACUGCAGGGGA
rnacentral:rRNA from 1 species